CUGGCUCAGAACGAACGCUGGCGGCAGGCCUAACACAUGCAAGUCGAGCGAGGACUUCGGUCCUAGCGGCGGACGGGUGAGUAACGCGUGGGAACGUGCCCUUCACUACGGAAUAGUCCCGGGAAACUGGGUUUAAUACCGUAUACGCCCUUCGGGGGAAAGAAUUUCGGUGAAGGAUCGGCCCGCGUCUGAUUAGGUAGUUGGUGGGGUAACGGCCUACCAAGCCUACGAUCAGUAGCUGGUUUGAGAGGAUGAUCAGCCACACUGGGACUGAGACACGGCCCAGACUCCUACGGGAGGCAGCAGUGGGGAAUCUUAGACAAUGGGGGCAACCCUGAUCUAGCCAUGCCGCGUGAGUGACGAAGGCCCUAGGGUCGUAAAGCUCUUUCACCAGGGAAGAUAAUGACGGUACCUGGAGAAGAAACCCCGGCUAACUCCGUGCCAGCAGCCGCGGUAAUACGGAGGGGGUUAGCGUUGUUCGGAAUUACUGGGCGUAAAGCGCGCGUAGGCGGACUGUUAAGUCAGGGGUGAAAUCCCGGGGCUCAACCCCGGAACUGCCCUUGAUACUGGCAGUCUCGAGUUCGAGAGAGGUGAGUGGAACUCCGAGUGUAGAGGUGAAAUUCGUAGAUAUUCGGAAGAACACC
rnacentral:rRNA from 1 species